UACGUAGGGUGCGAGCGUUAAUCGGAAUUACUGGGCGUAAAGCGUGCGCAGGCGGUUGUGCAAGACAGAUGUGAAAUCCCCGGGCUCAACCUGGGAACUGCAUUUGUGACUGCACGGCUGGAGUGCGGCAGAGGGGGAUGGAAUUCCGCGUGUAGCAGUGAAAUGCGUAGAUAUGCGGAGGAACACCGAUGGCGAAGGCAGCCCCCUGGGCUGAGAUUGACGCUCAGGUACGAAAGCGUGGGGAGCAAACAGG
rnacentral:rRNA from 1 species